rnacentral:lncRNA from 1 species
UCAUGACAAAACUUCUGCUGUUAGAAAUUGGCAAGGUUUGGGCAGAAAGAUACCAAGCAAAGCAAGAGCAGGGUUUGUGUCAUGUUAGCAAGGUUUGGGAAUGAUGAGAAAUGGAGAUGAAAGUAACCAAGUGUUUUGGUUUGACAUCAAAUGAUCAAAUCCAAGCAUAAUAAGGAGGAGGUUUUAAAAAAAUCAGUGAG